rnacentral:rRNA from 1 species
CUACGGGUUGCUGCAGCAGGGAAUAUUGCACAAUGGACGGAAGUCUGAUGCAGCGACGCCGCGUGGAUGAUGAAGGCCCUCGGGUUGUAAAAUCCUUUUCAGGGGGACGAGGAAGGACGGUACCCUUGGAAUAAGCGUCGGCUAACUACGUGCCAGCAGCCGCGGUAAGACGUAGGACGCAAGCGUUAUCCGGCUUUACUGGGCGUAAAGCGUCUGUAGGCGGAAUGGUAAGUUGGACGUGAAAGCUCCGGGCUCAACUCGGAGAGGUCGUUCAAUACUGCCAAACUAGAGGGCAUCAGAGGAGCGUGGAAUUUCCGGUGUAGCGGUAAAAUGCGCAGAUAUCGGAAGGAACACCAAUGGCGAAGGCAGCGCUCUGGGAUGAACCUGACGCUAAGAGACGAAAGCUAGGGGAGCGAACAGGAUUAGAUACCCUCGUAGUC